rnacentral:piRNA from 1 species
UACCUUCGUUUCACCUGUUCAAUGAAGA